rnacentral:rRNA from 1 species
CAGUAGCCGCGGUAAUACGAAGGGUGCAAGCGUUACUCGGAAUUACUGGGCGUAAAGCGUGCGUAGGUGGUGGUUUAAGUCCGUUGUGAAAGCCCUGGGCUCAACCUGGGAAUUGCAGUGGAUACUGGGUCACUAGAGUGUGGUAGAGGACAGUGGAAUUUCCGGUGUAGCAGUGAAAUGCGUAGAGAUCGGAAGGAACAUCUGUGGCGAAGGCGACUAUCUGGGCCAACACUGACACUGAGGCACGAAAGCGUGGGGAGCAAACAGGAUUAGAUACCCGCGUAGUCCCUGUCUCUUAUAC